rnacentral:tRNA from 1 species
GGAGAGGUGCCGGAGCGGUCGAUCGGGGCGGUCUCGAAAACCGUUGUGCGGGGUGACCCGCACCGUGGGUUCGAAUCCCACCCUCUCCGCCA